rnacentral:rRNA from 1 species
UGUGUAGGCGGUUGGAUAAGAGUGGUGUGAAAUCUCCCGGCUUAACUGGGAGGGUGCGCUACAGACUGUCUGACUAGAGUAUGGGAUGGGAGAGUGGAAUUCCUGGUGUAGCGGUGAAAUGCGUAGAUAUCAGGAGGAACACCGGUGGUGUAGACGGCUCUCUGGACCAUUACUGACGCUGAGACACGAAAGCGUGGGUAGCAAACAGGAUUAGAUACCCUGGUAGUCCACGCCCUAAACGAUGCAUAUUUGGUGUGGGCCAUUCAUUUGGUCCGUGCCGGAGCUAACGCGUUAAAUAUGCCGCCUGGGGAGUACAGUCGCAAGGCUGAA